GAUGAACGCUAGCGGCAGGCUUAACACAUGCAAGUCGAGGGGUAUUGGUUUUCGGACCAAGGAGACCGGCGCGACGGGUGCGUAACGCGUAUGCAAUCUACCUUUGCAGAGGGAUAGCCCAGAGAAUUUGGAUUAAUACCUCAUAGUAUAGUACUUUGGCAUCAAGGAACUAUUAAAGUCACAACGGCAAAGAUGAGCAUGCGUCCAUUAGCUAGUUGGUAAGGUAACGGCUUACCAAGGCAACGAUGGGUAGGGGUCCUGAGAGGGAGACUCCCCCACACUGGUACUGAGACACGGACCAGACUCCUACGGGAGGCAGCAGUGAGGAAUAUUGGACAAUGGGCGCAAGCCUGAUCCAGCCAUGCCGCGUGC
rnacentral:rRNA from 1 species